AUCCGGUCGAUGAGUCCGGAAUAGGACGAAAUGCGCGUUCUGGAU
rfam:Schistosoma rodhaini strain Burundi genome assembly, scaffold: SROB_scaffold0000503